ACAAGAAGUGCCAAUCCAGAAACAUGAGCAGAAUCAUGUAUUUGACAAAGAGCCUGUGAAAAGAAAAAAGAAAAAAAAACUUUGUCUAGCCACCCAAAAAAAUGUCCAGAAUACCAAAAGUGUAAAAUAUGCACCCAUCAAUCUUAAAGUGGGACGAGACCCCUACUCUCCUGCAAAAGCUAUCCUACUUCCUAAGUAUCACUCCAAAAGGUAUCCACUACAACAGAUCAAUUGAUAAGAAACUAACUGCAAAAGGUACCACCAUAACACAUCAAUUGAUGGAAAACUAUCUCCAGGAGAGUUGAUGUGUACAACUUAAACAGCAAGUUGGCUAAAUUAAUGUCUAAAUUAGCAUCAAAUUUCAGUGUCAAUUUCACUAGUAGCUCAUCAGAAACUUCCUUUGUAAAACAACUAGCAGCAAAUUAUUGGAUAAGUCCAUGAAACUGCAACAUCUCAGAGUCUAUAGUGGGGGUCAGAAUAGCUCAUCAGAAACUGGCUUUGUAAAACAAGUAGCAACAAACUAUUGGAUAAGCCCUUGAAACAGCAAGAACUCAGUCUAUGGAACUCUGGAGGCCAGAAUAAGGAAAAGAAAUUUAGAUCCUAAAAUUUGAAGCUAUUAAAUCUGAAUUAAGAAGAAGCAAGUGUAAAAAUGCUUCCAAUGAGCAGUAUAACAAGUGGAGACCACAAAUUGUAUUUAG
rnacentral:misc_RNA from 1 species